GCGGGACCCCUCCCGCCGCCGCCGCCGCGCCCGCCGCCCCCGGAGGAGCGGGCUGGCCGACCGCCACCGCGCGGUCCCCAGGCCGCCCCCGAAGCCGCUCCAUCGCGGUCCCUGCCGUCCUGGGGCCGAGCCCGGCUCCCGCGCCUUGGGGGUUGAGCCGAGCAAACUUCGCGCACCGGCCGACGCCCGGCAGGGACCCCGCUGCGCCCCCGCGCGCCCGGGUGGGCGCUGGGCUCUCGGACCUUUGGGGAGCAGGCUGCCCCGCCCGCUGCACCUGCUUGGCCCCCACCCCGCUUGCAGGGGACUCCAGAGACACCGCCACUUCGCAAACUUUUCCUCCCCACCACCGAGAGGGGGCGAGGAGGGGUAAAAGGGGAAGCAGGUCCCGCUGGGCGCGCGGACCUGCAGGCUUCUUUCUGGGCGCCGCCAACCGCGAGCUGGACCCACAGGGUUGCGGGGCCCCGCGGCCGCCCUCCGGCCGCUUUCUGGCCCCGGUUCCCGUCCCUGCUUUUCCCGUGAGAGCGGGGGGCGGGGUGCGGAGGGCAGCGAGGCCCGCGCGGUACCCAGCGGGGCCGCCCUGCAUGGCCCUGCGCAGUGGGGCGGGCUGCUUCGGCCGGGUCUGGCGCAGGGUGUCGGGGUUCCCGGACGCCUGGCCCCGGCGCUCGAGCAGCCUCCUGUGCCUGUCCGCCUUCUCGGCUGAGCCCGGGCCCGCGCCGCCCCUGCCCCGCCAGCCGCCUCGCGGUGGCGGUGGCUGUGGCGGCCCCAGCGGAGGGCCCCCCCCCCAGCCUCCCCGCCCCCCGCCUCCCCGCUGCUGCUGCUGCUGCUGCCGCCGCCGCUUACAACUUGGAGGCGGCGGCGGCGGCGGCGGAGGAGGAGGCGGCGGCGGCCGCCGGGCGCUGCAGUGGGACGCGCGCGGCUGUGAGCCUGCGGGACAUGCCCCCCGCGCCGGCUCCUUGCUGGCGGCCAUGAAGAGGCAGAACGUGCGGACUCUGUCCCUCAUCGUCUGCACCUUCACCUACCUGCUGGUGGGCGCCGCGGUGUUCGACGCCCUGGAGUCGGACCACGAGAUGCGCGAGGAGGAGAAACUCAAAGCCGAGGAGAUCCGGAUCAAGGGGAAGUAUAACAUCAGCAGCGAGGACUACCGGCAGCUGGAGCUGGUGAUCCUGCAGUCCGAGCCGCACCGCGCCGGCGUCCAGUGGAAAUUCGCCGGCUCCUUCUACUUUGCCAUCACGGUCAUCACCACCAUAGGUUAUGGGCACGCCGCACCUGGCACCGACGCAGGCAAGGCCUUCUGCAUGUUCUACGCCGUGCUGGGCAUCCCACUGACGCUGGUCAUGUUCCAGAGCCUGGGCGAGCGCAUGAACACCUUCGUGCGUUACCUGCUGAAGCGCAUCAAGAAGUGCUGUGGCAUGCGCAACACCGACGUGUCCAUGGAGAACAUGGUGACUGUAGGCUUCUUCUCCUGCAUGGGGACGCUGUGCAUCGGGGCAGCUGCCUUCUCCCAGUGCGAGGAGUGGAGCUUCUUCCACGCCUACUACUAUUGCUUCAUCACGUUGACUACCAUUGGGUUCGGGGACUACGUGGCCCUGCAGACCAAGGGCGCCCUGCAGAAGAAGCCGCUCUACGUGGCCUUUAGCUUUAUGUAUAUCCUGGUGGGGCUGACGGUCAUCGGGGCCUUCCUCAACCUGGUCGUCCUCAGGUUCUUGACCAUGAACACUGAGGAUGAGAGGCGGGAUGCCGAGGAGAGGGCAUCCCUCGCCGGAAACCGAAACAGCAUGGUCAUUCACAUCCCUGAGGAGCCGCGGCCCAGCCGGCCCAGGUACAAGGCGGACGUCGGGGACCUGCAGUCUGUGUGCUCCUGCACCUGCUACCGCUCGCAGGACUAUGGCGGCCGCUCGGCGGCUCCGCAGAACUUCAGCGCCAAGCUUGCCCCCCACUACUUUCAUUCCAUCUCUUACAAGAUCGAGGAGAUCUCACCAAGCACAUUAAAAAACAGCCUCUUCCCAUCUCCUAUUAGCUCCAUCUCUCCUGGGUUACACAGCUUUACCGACCACCAGAGGCUGAUGAGACGCCGGAAGUCUGUUUAGGUGUGGGGAGGGGAAUGGAACAGAAAAGUCAUUUGUCAUAGUUGAUGUUAAUUUCCAUUGGUCCAACUCGUCUUUUCUUAUUUAUUUAUUCUUUAUUAUUAUUGUCGUCAUCAUUACUUUCUCUCCUUCCUCCUUUCUUGGUCUCUUGGUCUCAUUUGCCCCCACCUUUCCAGCCAGACAGAGCAGGCCAAAGGGAAAUACAGGCCCAUCCUCCUCUGAAACUCGCAUCUGAGCAUGAAGCAUGGAUCUCCUCCUUCCUUCCCAGCAGACUAUGCCUUACAUUUCUCACCCCACCCACCCCAUCUCUGCAGUGGUUUUCCCGGGACAGAGGUGAGACCAAGACCACGGAGACAGAGCUGAGAGGAUACCCACCCCAAAGCUGCACACCAUGCUCAGAGCCUUCAACCGCCCACCUUAGUGGUGUCUCUGACCUAACUCCUUUCUCUUUUCCUCCUUAAAGACUGAGUGGCUGUGUGUGCGUGUGUUGUGUGUGUGCUUCUGUGUGCACGUGUGUCGUGACAACACGGGAAGUAUUAGGUAUUCUUUUUUUUUCCAUCACACAUCAUAGCCUGCUUUUGGCUGCUUCCAAACAAAACAAAGACAAAACCCCCCAAGGUUUUUGAUUUAUCGUCUCUUGCUAAAUCAAGCAUGUUUCUUAAGCAGUCUUUACCCCUGAUGUGUCAUGGUCCUACUUUCUAAAUGCUAGGUUCUCAAUUAUAUUAAUGUUUUUUAGGGGGCGGGUGGGCAGGAAGACCUGGAUCAUUUUAGCUUGCCAGUUCAAACAUUUUUAAAAAGCAUGCACUUUGUUAAACUGGUAUGCACUAUCCACAAGAAAACCUGAGUGGAAUCAUCAAAAGCCCAUCAUAUUAAUUUGUAAGAGACAUCUUUAGUUUUCUCACCUCCAGUUCCAUCAAUUUAUCGUGCAACUGGAAUUGUCAGGGGACACAGGAAAAUUGUUGGGACCAGAGAGUACCUAUUUUAUUUCCCUCUUAUUGAUAAUUUUGUGCAGCACUUUCCUGCGUAAGAAUUAUCGUGUUGGAAUGCUUGGGCGAGAAUGGGUAUUAGUAUGUGGCUGUGGUUCCUUUUCCUAAUGAGAAGUGACAGGGCAUUCCUCAUUAAAAAUACAUAUCUAUUUCAAGAAAUAUCGUCUCAAUUUGCAUUUGAUUUGUAAAUAGGGGAAAGUUGUUCACAUUGGUCUCAGGAAGAGUUUAGAGGCAAGGAGCUAUAUCUUGGCCUACUGGGAACUUGCCAAUCUCAGGGGACAAUUUUGUCUGAGUAGUGUAGAAAUUCCUCCCUGCUCUCAAUAGGGUAUGAGCCCAAAGGGAAGAGCUGCUAUCCUCUUGGGAGGGGGCAGGGGUAGUUCAGGCUGUAGAAUAUGGCACAUUGGAGGCCCUUAUAGUAGCAGGAAUAAAGGACAGUUUGACCUCCAGAUUCACUGAGGGGACUUUAAUAAUUUCCCUCAUUACCAUCCCUGCCAUUUUCUAAAAAUCACCCAUUCAUCCAUCCUCCCAUUCCUCUUUUGUAAACCGGAAGUUCAUGGCUCUUGCAUGGAAAUGGACCUUGGCUGUUCUCAGAAGGAGCACGGUUACCUGCCUGUCUCAAGGCCCCAACGAAAUCUCCCAGAAAGGAGGCUUUGCUCCCUAGAAAGCGUAGACCUACAGGAUUUCUUAAAGGAGACAACACCUGAAUGCCACCAGUCCCAAGCAUUUGGGCCGAUGGGCUGAAACAGGAGCAUUCAAGACUCCUCUGAAAAGGCUGUGCAUGUACUUUUACGCUACAUCCCAUGUUGAAAUUUCCCCUUCGUCCAGGACACAGGGCCUUCGAAGGAGUCUGCGAACCUCAGAUUCUCUAGGCCAAAGUUGACAGUUCUCAACCUUCAAGGUCUUUAUCGAUUCACUUGUUUUAAGAUUGUGUGUUAUGAGAUGCCCCUACUUGGGGCUCUAAAGUCUGUCCAGAGAAUAGCAGUUCUUUUCACUUUUUUUUUCUCUUGGAUGAGAUUGUCGAUUCUAUGGGGUCAGAGGUGUAACAGCCCUAAUGCAUUUGCAGAGUGCUUUAUGCUUCAGAAGAGUGUGCCUGGAAUAAAUGUGGGGCACUCAUGAAAACCUUUGUAAGAUGUGCCUUCAAAUGGGGGGUAGAUGAUCUAUAAUGAUGCCAAGGCACUGAGAGGAUGAGUGAUUUGCCCAGUGUCACGGAGCUGGUUGUUGACAGAACUGAGACAGGUGUCUCAGUCUGGAGCCCAGGAGAGUCCAAGGAGCUGAUUUCACACCACCGUGUCCUAAGUUCCUUAGCCCUCGGAGGAGGGCGCCUGCCUCUGUUUCCUCACUGGGGACAUGCAGCAGGCCCUUGGAGCCAAUUAAAGGGACAACGAUUCCAUCCUGCACACAGAGCUGGUUUCCCCCACUAAAAUGUCUGUGUCACAUUGGUCCUACGGUAGUCAUAUUUCUGCUUGAAUGCCUCAAGAAACAAGGAGCUCUUCUCUUCCCAGGGAACUAUAGAAAACAUUUUCUAUAGGAUUAAGGAUUAUAGGAUGAAGUCUUUUCCUCACCUUAUAAGUAUCAGAGACAAAAUAAAUUGCAAGUUGCCUCAAUUUCCCUAUGUCUUCUCUUUUCUACCAGUUUAGCCCUUUGAAGGAUGAUCAAGUCUUCUCUUUCAGAGUUAAACAUCCGUGUUUAUGCUCAAAGUGUUUAGGGGAUGGCGGCAAACCUUGGUUUGCUUGCUUGGUGAUGUUCCUCUUUUGCUGAGAUGGACCAUCUCUUCCCUUCUCUGGUCUCUGGCUAAGGAGUGACAGAUCUAGACACAUCAUGAAAUGGUCUCAGGGUGGAGGGCAGGUGGCCAAGUUAAGGGUUCAGGGUGUUUUCUUCUCUUGGAGAAACAGAAGUUGGGCAUCUGUUUAGUGCUCUACCAUUCAAUCCAUAUUAGAAUCAGAUCAAGUCAUCUCACUGAACAGCCUUUAUUUUCAGAGCACGAUAUUGAGGUCUAGAGAAGGUGAACACUCAUCUCAAGGUCUCUGAGGUAGAAUCUAGAUCUUCCCACUGAUUUACUAUUUUCCUGGUACUUCUGUUGCUGUUUGUAGCCUUCAGAAGAGCUCUUGUUGCUGGAUGAUUUUAGCUUUUAGCCCCAUGUCUCUUUCCCUCUCUCUUAUGCCUAGUGAUUUCUUUCUUUCAUCCAAGUGAUUUUCAUUCCCUUCUCCCAGUUAAUUUUACCCAUUCAGCGAGGAGUAUGAAAUCACAGCCGGCUGUUUGGAUGUAGGGUUCAACUUCUGUUAGAAUGAGCUCAGGAAGAGCCACAUCCUACCAGAAUCACCAGCGCUCAGCCCACCAGCCAGUACCUAGAAAUCAACAUGCCUCGUAGGUUUUUAAAAAUAUUACUCACUUGAACUCUUUUCAACUAAGAGCUCUGUCUUCAUCUUUCCACCUCAAAUAUAGGAGGAAGGUGGACAGUGGUAUUGAUGAUCCCUAGAACCCCUGGCACACACUUUGUAGAGACCAUCCUGCUAGAAUCUUUAUUGUAUCCAUCCUGGGUGGAAAGUGCUGUGUUGGCUGUCAGCCUGUCAGACUCUUAAGUAGGAAUGAACCAGCCCCUCUGGGUUUUGAGAUACUUGGUUAUCACAACAGCUAGCAUCAGAUUCAUUCUUUCUACCUGCCCUGCUUCAUCUUGGAAACUGCACAGCAGCCCCGUAACCACAGUGAGCUGCCUGGCUCUAAAUGUGAACCCUCUUGGAAGCAUCUGUGUGCUCCCACGGUGUGUGGCCAAUUGUGACAGGAGUGCCUGCAUUCAGGCAUGGUCACAGCAGCUCAUUUGCAGCCCAGGAUUCCCAGUGGGUCCAUCAUCCUUCCAGGAGAGGUAGCAAAUGGACCUUGACCACCGCCCACAAAAGCCUCCUUGGGAGGUGCUCAUUAAAACCCCACCCAUCAAAAGGAUGGAGAUUAAUCUCAGCUCACCUGUUCCUUAUCUGUGCACAGGGCCUUAAGAGAACCUCUGGACAGUAAGAGAAGCUCACAGAUAAGCCUAGGCAGGUCGCUUUUCUCUGUCUCAUCCCUAUCUGGAAGCUGAUGGGUCCCCGAUUCUCAGUGACAAUCACUUGCAGCUGGAAGCUGGAGGGAAGAACAGGGUUUCUCAGAGGCCUCCCUUGUCUGUGCACAUUGGCCAGGAGAGGGAGGUGAGCAAGGAGAAAAUAACCAAAAAAAAAAAAAAAUCACAGAGGCUUAUGGCUCCAUUUCUUUUUGUAAUAUUCUUUUUAAAAUGACAGGCCCCAAGAUACCCUUUGAAACCCUCUGCAGAGACGCAUGCCCGCAUCCUAUCAGUGUGCUGGCCCCGGCAACAGUGAAGCACUCUGGCAAACCAUGGCUUUGUUCUGAAAGUGGUGUGACUUGGGGUCUGUCCCAUACAGGCCAUGCUGCCUGGGGGUGUAAAGUGGGUUUCUUCCAGAGUUGUGGCCUGCACUGGACCCUGGAAGCACCCUCAGUGAGGACAGGGUGGUAGGCAGAGGACCUGUCAUUGUGCUGUGCUCCACUGAGCUCUUGGAAGUCAUUUCACUCCCUGGGCCUCUGAGGCUUCCCCAUCUACACAAUGAGACAGCUUGGGUGAGAUUUAUGGGCACUUAGUACAAAACCAAUUUGACCCACAAAAGCAUUUGGCCUGGAUAUUCUGACCCUUGGGCACACUUGAAGCUUGAGCCGCCCAGAAGAAAGCCAAAAAUCACUUGGUUUGGCAGGGAAUGGGGAGCUGAGAAGAUGAAGAGGGACAGGCAAUGGCAGAGAGUGCCGUGGUUGUCACAAACCAAGGCCAAAUGCAUUCUGGGUCCCCAGAGCGCUGAGCAUAAAUCCAUUUGAUGUGGUUUUUUUUCCUUGACCACACCUGAUAGAGGCUGCUGAUUCAGGAAAACAGAAACCCUAUGACCAUGGUCAUAUGAACUUCUAUGUUGAAAAUCCCAGAAUUAGAGUGAAGAAUAGUCUGACGAGCAUCUCUUGGCCUCAGUGCCUUGCCACCCUCGCUCCCCCAAUUCUCACUCAGAUGUUUGGAUGAUGCGUUAGCAUGCCUGCAGCUUUCAGUGGUUCAGCCAAAGAAGAAAUUUUAUGCCAUGAACAAGAGCACUCUCCCAACGGUGCCAUUGUCACGCCUAAGAAACGUAGCAUUCAUACAAUAUUACUGCCUGAUACAAUCUGUAUGUAAAACCCCAGUUGUACCAAAAAUGUCCUCCAAAGCUUAUUGAGUCUAAAACACAAUCCAAGGUCACGUCCCACAUUGCUUGUCCUGUUGUUCCAGACCUCCCCCGAAUGGGACAUCCUCGUCACCAUUUCUGUCUUCAUAAUGUUGGCCUUCUUAAGGAGUCCCGGUCAGGGUCUUGUAGAAUAAUGCCCUGUGAUCUGCUAUGCUUGUUUCCUCUGGUUAAGACACUUUGGCAAGACAGUGGAAUUGAUGUCCUGCAGCCAUGAUUGAUGCAUUUGAUGUUUGGCUCUCUGGGGACCACUGUGGUUACUGCUUGCAUUGUGGGUAAAUAAGUCGUAUUAAAUGUUGUUUUCCUCUGUUAGGGGAACUAACUGCACAUUCAAGAGAGGCGUCCGUGGAUGCUGGGUCUCACUGCCAAAGCCGAACAUGGCUUCGGGAUUUCUGCCUUCUCACGUGGACCUCUGCUGUGCUGGUUGAAUGCCACUAUUUGUUCCCCUAAACACCCAUAGGGAUGGUCCAGCUACUCAUAGACAGGAAGCCCAGAGAAAUGCUUGAUGCGAGGGUCCCCGCAAGCCAGUUGGGCUGUUUUGGCACCCGCUCCCCCAGUAGCUCCUCAAUGAGGGGUAGAGACUGCCAAGGAAUGCCACUAUUUGUUCCCCUAAACACCCAUAGGGAUGGUCCAGCUACUCAUAGACAGGAAGCCCAGAGAAAUGCUUGAUGCGAGGGUCCCCGCAAGCCAGUUGGGCUGUUUUGGCACCCGCCCCCCCAGUAGCUCCUCAAUGAGGGGUAGAGACUGCCAAGCCCUUCCACUCAUUCAUCAUCAUAAAAAUGUAACUUGCUAUGGCAGCCUCUUGGCCAUUAAGGGCUAUACUUUGUGACCUCUGUCCUUGAGAUCUUUGCUCUGACAAGUUCUGUAGCCUUCUCAGUGCUGCUGUCAUGAUGCAGUCUCCCUGCUGUGGCUAAGUAACCUUUCUUUUUGAUCGAGAUUUGUCCAUGCAGACUCCCACCUCUGCACCUCUGCCCGUGCCAGUCCCUCGACCUGGGAGGUCUCCCUGUUGCUCUCCAGCUUUGAGGUGGAGACAGAGCAUCUCACACCUCCUUUUGCUGUCUUGUGACCCUUUUGCUCCCUGAUGGACUUGACGAUGUCCUCUUCUGGGGUCCCCCAGUUCUUGUUUUGGUCAUGCGUGACUGCACCCAGCGAGCAAACCUUCUGUGGCCCUGGCUACAGGAACAGCAAGCGAUGGGCAGUGCCUUGGAGGGAAGGACCAUCUCGAGAAUAAAGGCACUGAGAUGUGUGGCCUCUUGCCAAAAUGGCCACUCAUCACCGUGACUGAGGCAUGUCUUAACUUGCUGAAGUGGAAACAGGGUAAUUCAAUGCACGCUUCUGCUCCAUCCCUGGAAACAGAUCCAGAUCUAUGAGAAGAAAACUGGACCUCAUAGCAUUGGCGAUUCAACAGCACCUGCCCAGCGGGGUGGCACGUGCCCCAUACAACAGGGCUGGAAGCUGCCACACCAGGCAUCUCUCAUAAGGUGGGUGACAGAUGGCACCAGCCUCCAGGAGCACCGUUGCGAUGUGUCACCCUGAAGAAGUUGGGCCCCGUGAUGGGAACAUCAUCAGGAAACUGGGUCUGCACCGUUUUCUUGUGGCAACACCUCUGGUAGAGGCUGUGAGGGGAUGGGGACAUGCAUCGUGAGUGACUCAGGAUCCCCAGCCUCUCUGGCCUGGCACCUGCCCACCCCUAGAGCUCUGGGCCUUGAGAGAGGCAAAUGCACACUCUUCUCACCUCCAGAGAGCAGCGUGGGGGUGUGGAUGCUGCUCAGGCCCUGGCAUCUCGUACGCCUGGGACCGGCCUCUGCCAUUCACAGGUGGGUGGUGGUUUUGCCUCUGAGCUUCAGUUUCCCCACCUUUAAACUGGAGAUUGUACAUAGCCCCUACUGCAAAGGGUGCCUGUGAAGACUAGAUGUGAGGUGAUGGCAUUUAAUGUCACCUGCUCUCUGCCAAGCACCCUGCCUGUGUUCUCAUACAUGUUUGCAUUUCUCAUAAAGGCAAGGCCCAUGUCUCCCAGAAGAAUUUACUCCUGGGGCAUCGGACUUGAAAUCCAACUAUGAAAAAAAAAGUGAUCAAGUCUGGUUGAGCAGCUCAGGCGGGCUUCAUAGAGGAGACGGCUUUUGGAAAUCAUUGAGGCGAGCUUUAAAGGAGCAAGUGAGUGCUAUUUUAGGCACAGGCAAAGGCAUGGGCCAAGGUGCAAGGGUGUGAUAGUGCAGGGGGCACAGAUUCCAUCCCACCAUUGGUGGAAUCCUGCCACACCUGGGAGAGAUGAGAUACCAUAAAUCUCAAGACCCCCUACAAGCUGGCCACAUCUAAGUCCUUCAAGCCAUUCUUCUGCUCCAGAACCUUCCAUGGCUCCCUAGUGCCCAUAAAGUAAGUUGAUGGUAAAGUCCUGCACUCUAACCAACCACAGCCACAGCCUCAGGCUUUCAGGGAGGCACUAUCCAUCUACAUGUCCCUUCUGGGUCCUCCUCCCAUAAAAUUCCAAAUAGACCUGGAGUCUCACCAAACUUGAAUUCUAUGGCAUCCUCUUGUUUGUGCGGGGUUUUGUUUGAUGGGAAUUUUUCCGGGUAAGAUCUUGGUCUUUCGCUGAAGCAUCCUAGGACUUGUCCUGAUGAAAUCUUCUGCCAGCCUCACCAAAGACUAGCAUGAAACAAAAGGAAAAUGCUGUAUAAAAUAAGUUCUUGAGCUUACCUGGCAUGAAGAACUUGUUUCCUGACUGAUUUCAUGAUCAACAGUGGUCAUGACUCCCUGCAUCUCUGGCCUCUGAGACUGAAUCUGGCUAAGGCCUUGUGGGCACUUGCUCAUCUCACCCCUAGGAGAUGAGGCCUCUCUGUGGGAUUUGUCACCCAGCACAGGGUCCUCUGAGGGUGUCAACAGAAGAUCCGGGAGUGCCUACUGUCGUGGCUCUCCUCCCAUCCUCACCACAUGAGGUGCCCUGCUCUAAAGGAAGAAAGCCUUAGCCAACUGAGCUGUGAGUCAUCAAUAUCUGCAGAGCAGCCCGCAGGCCUGGCCCCUGGAACUCACCCUUCCUGGUGAAAGAGGGGCAUGCCUCUGCCCAGCAUUUACCUUCAGGCUCGGCUUGAAGCAGCCAUUCCACCCCUGCCCUGUGUCUUCCUCUGGGUUAUCCUUCUCCAGGGGUCUCUCUGCUUCUUGGGAGAAUAUGUCCCCCCACCCCCUGCUGAAGCCCACUUGGCCAAGCAGAGAGCCUUGCCUCAGGUCAGCUCAGCUGGGGUCCAAACCUCAAUUUCAGCCUCUUGAACUUACACGUAAUGUAGCACUGUGCAAGUGAAGAUGUUACUUCCCACUGGGACACUUACUUUUCAUGCUGGGUGGCAGUGGCCAGAGCACUUUCAUCUGGCAUAUGAGGUAACAGGGCUCAGAAAAGUGGCAAAUCUGGAACUCCAAGUCAGGUGUCCUGACUGCACACUUCCAGGCACCUAUCCUGAAGCUCACAGGUCAGGAAAGGUCCCUCAGAUUGCCAUAAGGAAAGGACAUAGAUGGUGGCAUAGCUCAGGAGGAGGGAGGAGGUGUCAUCUCCAGGUCAAAUCCAUACACGGGGGUUGGGGCAGGUGGUGGGCAUUUCACAGGGGCAGGCAUCAGAGAGGAAGCAGCACCAGAAGAGCAUGGUCAGCCAGAAGAGCAUGUGCUGAGUCUGCUGGUUCCUUCACCCAGUUCAAAAGCCCAGCCCUGUUCAGCACCAUGGACAAAUCCAUAAGCUAAGAACCACGUUCAGAGGAAGCCUUUGGUUGCUAUGAAUCACACAGACCUUUGUGCGUCUUUUCUUCACAACAGUGGCCCCCCAGAGGGCAGACCUGAGACCAGCAGUAGUGGGUUCUCUGGCCUGAAGGGUGGGCUAGUGGACCUCAGCUGGGUACAGUGUGCAGUACAUUGUAUAGAAUGUGGCAUCCCCUGUGCAGGGCAGAGGGCUCUGUGCCGGGGGUGGAAGAGCCUCUGCUGAACCCUCCCACACUGUGGUGUGACCCAGGCUGGGUGUCCCUCCUGGGAGGCAGAUCUGAGGAGCUAGAGAACACAGUGAUGCUCAAACAUGUCAUCUGGCAAACGUGUCCCAUCUGAGCCUUCGUUUCCCCAUCUGUGAAGGAAGGAUCUGGAAGACAGGACUGUCCUGGAAGGAUUGGGGGUGGAAACCCUUGUUCUGCAGAUGCUGGUGUGAGGAACCAUCCACAACACUGGGCAGGAAUCUGGCCCCAGGGCAUGCCUGGGUUUUGUCUGAAGCUUUGUGUGGGACUCUCAAGUUGGCAGGGAAUCUGGAGUUGGUGGGGAGGCGGGGUGGCAGGGCUUGUCCUUGUCACCAGCAUCUCCCUUACCACAGUGACAGUUGGUCCUGGCAGCUAAAGAGUACAAUUGGAAAGACAGAAGGGGGAGUCAGUUCCUUGGAGCCAUCUUUGCAUCCAGAGAGCAGUGCUUGAUUUAGAGGAGGGAGGCCUUGUAAGCUUCAGUCAUGAGUCUUGGCCUCUGAAAGACUGAGCUCUCAGUCUUGCCUUUUCUGGCCACCAGGCACUGGGUGGUAUAGACGUUGGGGGCCUUCCUAAGCACUCAACCCUGGUUCCCUUCCCUCCUCAUUUGUAAUAGGACCACUUGGACUUGAGAAGUAACUUAUCCCCCACCCCCCCACACACACAAAAGAUGAAAUGGCCAGGUGAGAUGAGAGGCAGGUGUCUCCCAGGCAGAGACCAGUGAGGAUGAAGUGACAUAGUAUGGUCACAUACUGGACUCUGACAUUUUAAUGGAGGAAUUUGGAGCGAUGGGGCCCAGUCUUUCCAGCAUUGGGCUGGGUUCCUACACAGGGUCCACAUCCUCUCCCAGGGACAUCACCUGUUUCAGGUAGGUAGUUCUAUAGACUUCCUCUCCUCUCACUGGAGACUCUCCCCCCACCCACUGAGCCCUUUUAAUCCUUCUGAUGGAUUCUCCCAUAAGAUGGGGUCUCUGAUAAAACAGCUCCCAAUCCCCAGUAAAGCAGAUGGCUGGACAGUGGUGUGGGAUGGGGUAUGUUCCAGGGAACCAAAGUCCGCAUCUACCAGAUGAUGCUGCUAUGAGGUGUCAGCUGCCCCAUCCAUGGGCCCCAGCAGCUCCCCAGGGCUGCCUUGUGCAACAUGGGCUGUUGAUUCAGCCAUUUCUCCAGCCACUGUUGACUGAGUGAGCUGAGCAUGUGCUUGCUGCGGACCGGCCACAGUAGGGGCUGCUGUGGCUAGCUAGACCAUCAAGUCCUUGGCUUCAUGGGACUAAGAUGCCAACAGACCACAGCUUCCUUGAUGCGCGGAGUCUGGAGGCAGGGCCAAGGAACAGAAACGGGAACUAGAACAAGCCUCAGCAAUGGUUUUACUUUCUCAUGUGGAAUUUUAGAAGUUGGGUAGAAAAUAAAAAUAUGAAAGGAAAAACACAAUUAGUGGGAACCCAGUGCAGUAGAACCCACAAUUAACAAGAUUUCUCUAUAAUUUGAUAGCUCCUCAGAGGAAGACACUCCUGAAAAAGGCUAAUUAUAUAUGUUUGUUCAGCCCACAAAUAGCAUUUUGACAGUCAUUGGGGGGGGGCGGGGGGCUGGAAAGGACGUUAUGAGAUCGUCUCAGUUCACCCUCUGCUCUAUCAGAAAUCUCCACUAAAUAGAUAUUGCAUUGGGUUAGGUGAAAUUGUUUUCAUUGAUUCAAAUGUAAAUAAGGGAACAGAUUAGCCCCACUUGGGAGAUUUGAGGAUAUCAGGUAUAUCCAAAGAUGUUGAUAAGGGGGUUUGCAGUUAGACAUAGAGACACGGGACAGAGACAUCAAAGAUGAGUAGAAUUUCAACCACUGAAUUAAGGAGAAAAAAACUUCUAGUCCAUUCCCAGCAGGCCAAGAAAUUGCUGAUAAUCCCUCUUAGAUGUACAGUGUUUUUGAAUUCAGCCAACUGUGUAUCCUUGUGCUUUAAAACUUCAAAAAGAAAACUUGUCAUUUGUGACUCCUGGCAUAGAAGAAAUUAAACUUGAAUUAGUUCCGAAUUCACACCCAUCAAAACGAUUGGCAUAUAAUCCUGGGGUGCCUCCUGGGGAGGGUGGGGUAUAGGGAUAUGGGCUCUUGUGAAUCUAUUUGGGGUAUGUGUGCGCGUGUGCAUUGACUGGCUAUCUGUGGGUCUUCGGAUUUUUGUGUUCCUCCUCUCCACACCCCCAGCAUUGCUGGGCAUUUUUGUGACUGUGCAGUAAGGGGACCUGGAUUUGGUUCUUAUGAAGAUGCUACUGGAGGCCUGCCAGAGCACUCCCUGGGGAGGGAGAUGGAAGUCAGGAAAGUUCUAGCAGAAAUGGGCUUAGUGACCUUGGGACUGUUUGUUCACAUUCAGGAGGAUGGGAUGUUUGGUUCCGGACCCCUAGCAGGGACCCACCUUCCUACCUUGGUGAAUGGGGUUUGAACAGGUCCUAUUGUGGUCAAGGUGUCAAGGCCUUUGGUGGGAAGCUGUAUCAGAUCUGGCAAAAAUCAGCCAUUCAAACUCAUGCACAGAGAACCAAAUUCAAAAGGAGCCUGCUGCUUCUGUUUGUUUUAUUUUGUUCAUCUUCUCUGGCCUUCUCUGUCUGUGGAGACGGCACCUUCACAAAUGGCCUUAGAAUGCUGUUCUGAAGUUCAACAGAAUGAGACAACCAUCAAAUGAAUAGCAGAGGUAUCUAUUUUCACAGCUUACCUGAUUAAAUAUUUAAAAAUCUAGUCACCAAUGUUUACAAGUCCAAGCAGACAUCCAGCCCAUGUAGAAUAUGUAACUUACGUAAGGGUUCGCAUCUUUCUUUUGUAACGAGUGUGGUACGCAGCCCUGUAUAUAUUUUACAAUGUCUUUACAGAAAAAUCAUUUAAUGUGGUGUUGUACAAUAAUGCACUUUUCUAAUUUUUUUCCAUUAAACUCUCUAUGGCACGUUUA